GGGGCUGUAGCUCAGUGGCAGAGUACUUGCCUAGUAUGUAUGAGGCAGUUGGUUCGAUCCUCAGCACCA
rnacentral:tRNA from 1 species